rnacentral:rRNA from 1 species
ACGCUCGACACCUACGGGAGGCAGCAGUUGGGAAUAUUGGACAAUGGAGGAAACUCUGAUCCAGUGACGCCGCGUGAAGGAAGAAGGUCUUCGGAUUGUAAACUUAUUUUGUCAGGGAAGAAAAAAUGACUGUACCUGAAGAAAAAGCACCGGCUAACUACGUGCCAGCAGCUGCGGUAAUCUGAGCGGGCUGCAAGGC